GAACGAACGCUGGCGGCAGGCCUAACACAUGCAAGUCGAACGCCGUAGCAAUACGGAGUGGCAGACGGGUGAGUAACACGUGGGAACGUACCUUUCGGUUCGGAAUAACUCAGGGAAACUUGAGCUAAUACCGGAUACGUGCGAGAGCAGAAAGAUUUAUCGCCGAAAGAUCGGCCCGCGUCCGAUUAGCUUGUUGGUGAGGUAAUGGCUCACCAAGGCGACGAUCGGUAGCUGGUCUGAGAGGAUGAUCAGCCACACUGGGACUGAGACACGGCCCAGACUCCUACGGGAGGCAGCAGUGGGGAAUAUUGGACAAUGGGCGAAAGCCCUGAUCCAGCCAUGCCGCGUGAGUGAUGAAGGCCUUAGGGUUGUAAAGCUCUUUUGUCCGGGAAGAUAAUGACGGUACCGGAAGAAUAAGCCCCGGCUAACUUCGUG
rnacentral:rRNA from 1 species